UGAGCAGAUUCCCAACAGCGCCACCGCCUGCCUGCAACCGGAACUUACACUGUGGGAGGACUAAUGAGCCAGCCCUGCGCCUAGUUAUAUGGGAGUGGCGCCGCUCAAUAGGCGCUGGUUUGUAUUGUUGUUGCUGAGGUGUGUCCCACAUCUCCGGGUCCCGGACAGCCUUCUAAGAGCUUGAGUGACAAUUACAAAUGAAUAAAAUCUACACAAAAAUACCUCAGAUUCAUGCAUGGUUAUGAGAGAGGGUUCCAAGGCCCACCAGGAGACGCCAUCAGAGCAGCAGUUGGGGGUGUCAAGUGCUUUGGUCACAGGCUUGCAAACUGUAGGACUGUCUCCCUUGAGGAACCCAAAGCAGUUUAUGGCUGGGGAAGGAGAUGAAGGGGAGAUCAUUCUUCAUGUGAGUCAGGUUCUCAGCAAGAUCACUGAGGAAAACAAAACCCACUUGGCCAACAUCCGUUAUACCCUUCCUGCUUACACAUGAGAAAUACCUGGAACUACGACCUGGAGCAAGUCUUUUACAAUAAACACAGGGAUUUACAAGUAUAUGUAGAACACCGAAUGGUACUUUCCACACAAACAACAUUUACGUCAUCUAUAGAAAUGAUACAGAGGAGAGACAAAAUAAAAGUUUCCCUAGAAUCCCGGCCUGAAGGCUGGUUAUGAUGAGAUACAGGGUGGAGACAUCACUGCUGCCCUAGAUGCUCUGAAAAAUGCAGGAAGGUGAUUGUUCCUUUAUCCGUAACCUUAUGGUUAUGUAAGAGGGGCCUUGACCAAAGGCUGACUGGGACAAACUGUCAGAAACCCGUGUGAGUAUGAAGCAGGAAUCACACACGUGUGUAUUGGAGGCUGGCAGCAAGAAAGAGCCAGAGAAGGGACCACUGUGACCGCUUUCAGAUAACAAAGAGACAUAUGCCACAGAGCGAAGAUGCCGUGUAAAAGGAUUCCCAGGGAACGAUUGCAUUUUGAGUUCCUUGAUCAACGCACGCUGAACACUGGGCCGGCUACACUUGUGUUAUUUUUAUCUCCGAGAACUAUACCGCAGAAUUCGGAUUUUAUUUCAUUGAGAAUGUAUUAUCUUUUAAAGGUAGAAAAAUUAAAUGGUGAGUUAGAUCUCACAUUCUCUCUUUCUAAAUAUCAAAGUUAUCUUUGUGAAUGUGUAGUGUAGAGAUAGAUAAGAGUGUGAGCCAGCUGCCUGGGGCACAACAAGGUGGGGGGCACAAUUAGGAGUUGUGGACAGUAGUUUACAACUGUUGGGUGGACAUGGGGGAAGGGAUUGUGAUGUAUGACGGCGGGGGAAGGAUGGCUGGAGGCCAGACCAUGGCCCACUGUUGAGGGUACCCAACUCCAAGAGCACUCAAGACACUUGGAACUUUGAAAGCUCCUACAUUUAUUGCCAUUUUAGCUUUGGAAGAAGCCCCUUGGUAUCUGGCUGCCUUCAGAAGGCUCUUGCAUGGGGUUACAAGAAAGCCUGCACCAUCUGAGUCCAGAGUUUCAUUUCAAAGUGUCUUCUCCAUCUCACUUUAUAUUGUAAACUUUUUUGGGCAGGGCCCUUUUUAAUAAUAAUAAUAAUAAAGUGAAGAAAUGAUUUAGAAUUCAGUCCAGUCAGACUGGACUGCCCAAAUAUUACAUGAUCUCCCUAUGGGCCUUUUCUUAUUUACACCAUUAGCAUUUAUAACCUAUAAACCAUUUGCACUCUCCAUCUGAUUGUUGUGAGAGCCGGCCCAGAAUGUCAGCUUCUCUGGUGGCCCUAAAGGUGGCCAUACACGCACCGAUAAUAUCGUACGAAACCUCGUUUC